GAGGUGGCUUAUAUUAUAAUCUAAUAAUUGCUAGCUGAUGGAUACAUUAUUGUCUCAACAAUAAUCUCCUGCAAAACAAGUAAUGGAUGCCUUCUACCUACCAUUAAAAAUAAUAACGUCGUAUCAAUGAUCAUUUAAAAUUAUGUGGAAGCAAGUUUCAGGGCAAAAACUUUUAACACAUUCAUAAGAUUACCAGGAUAUGGAAUUAGGUUUUUGAGUAGGUUUCAAAAUCCAUACGAGCAAGACAAGGACGGCACUCCAAUCAUGGCCAUUCAUGCUCUGUACACCGGACAUAAUUGAAUAGGUCAUACAUGGCUCCAUGAUUGCUCCACAUAUCAUGUGAAGCUUAUUCGAUUAUGA
rnacentral:lncRNA from 1 species